UAAUGGGGAGAGUGAGGGAGUAGUUUUGUAAUGUGAGAGUUGAUAGCAAAGCAAAAGCUUAAGCUUGAAAAUGGAACUUUUGUUUCUUGCGAUCAUUAAUUAUAAAACUUACCAAACUCGGAAUCAUUGAGCCCACUCACUCUGACUCAGUGGGUAAACCCUAAUUCACAGAAGAGAAGAAGAAGAUGAUAACAAGGUCGAAAUUGGUGGAGCAAUUGAGAGAGUACCAGAUCCGAUCACAGCACAAGUGUGUUCCUCUCACCUUCUUCUCCCCUAAACCCCUUCUCUGUACUUGGAGUGAUGUAGCUGUAGCUGUCUUUUGGGCCUUGGUGUUUACUUUGCUCGUCGUGCUAUCGUAUGCGACGAUCUAUUUCAGACACUUUUGGCUUUCUUUCCUUAUAAUAUUCCUUGGGAUUUUUAUUUCGAUGCGCUUGAGAAGUUCUAGGCAGUCGCUGACACGGAAGAGGGAAAGAAGAAUGCUUUUACCUUUGUCAAUGUAAACAUGCCAUAGCUGUAGAGUAAUUCACAGGCCACGUAGCUCGGUGAUGAUAGUUAAACUCACAUUUAAUCCUGUUGGGUAUUACUUGGAAAGUUUUAAAGCAUGGGAGCUCCAGCUCACAUUUAAUCCUGUUGGGUAUUGCUCGAAAAGUUUUAAAGCAUGGGAGCUCUGCUCCUGGUGAACCAGGAUGGACAGUUCCUUUCUGAGAUAGAUGGUAUGAUUCUUUUAUAUUCUCUUUAUGAACGUACACAGGAAGCCUUGAGAAUUUACUAUACACUUAUUUUUGAAUCUGAACACCAUAUAUUUGAGGGGUCAUUACCUGCCUUUUCUUGUAAUUACCUUGUAAAUUUAUUCUAGUUUAACAAAAUUUAUUUUGACA